CGAGAAAGUUGGUGGUCAAUAUAAGCUACUCAAGACGAUCAGCCACGACCUAGAGGUUGAUAAAUUUUGUCAAGGAACGUAUAGCCCUUCGAUUAGAAGGGGCCCGGGAUGCGGAGGUGAUUGACAAUACUGAAGAUGCAUAGUGGAUAGACUAAUAUUAGUGGCUUAUAGAAAACAAAUGUCCCGAAAGUGUAUAAUUUCAAUGUGUAUGCCUCUCUCUGAAUUGGCACGAGAAGAUCGUUCUACAUUGGAAUCCAAUCAUCCAUAUAACUUUGAGAAGGUCACUGUAUGUCGUGUCUCUCUCUGACCGCCCCUCCUCCCAUUGACUUCGCAUCCUGGUCACCACCGUAUCUCCUGCUGGCUCGCCCCUCGCCAUCGUCUGGAGGGUUGUGUGUGCCGUUCUACAUUGGAAUCCAUAUAACUUUGUAAAGGUCACCACCAUGCCGCCUCUCUCUCUGACCGCACCUCCCAUCGUCUUGGUUUGCUGGUUGCCGUUAUGUCUCCCUUUGGUUCGCCCAUCACCAUCGCUCGAGGUGUUGUGUAGGCCGCCGCUCAUGCCUCUACUCUGCAGUGACCACUUCAAUUAGUUGUGUUUCUGAGAGGGAAAAAAUCUUAUGUUGCUUUUCUAUCCAUCGCAUCGAGGCCCGAGAAUGCCCCUCUCCGGCUCUAAGCUCUGUUCGCCGAUGGUGAGUCGCAGCUGGGAAUCCUCCUCUCUGCUCCUUGCCCCCCGCCAAGAGCCUCGAUUGCAUCUGGACCCCGAGCUCUCCGUGCUCGCAUCGCCUCUGUGUGAAUCGUCGCAUCGUCAGGGGGAGAGGAAGCUGGCACUGCUUAUCCCCAAGGAGUGUGCCAUCGACGGUAGGAGGCCAGGCGGGGCGACGGGAGGAGUCCAAGCAAAUUGACAGGAGGAGGCCAGGCAGAGCACGUCAUCGCCACCGGCUGGCGCAUCGAUGGGACUCCGACAUGCUUAGGGGGCUCGACCAAGUCGGAGGCCAGGCGGUGUGCGUGGUCGUGGAGCGCCAGCCGCAGGCGCUUGAUAUGGUUCUCCCCUUGUCACGCCUCCUUUCGCUGCAGGAGACAACCUGUUGUGUUGGGCUCGGACGGUGCUGGCCGUUAGCUUGCCUUGCAAGAGGAUGCUCCCCUGCUCUGAGUCCUAGCAAGGCACUCUGUGCAUUGGGGGAAAAUGAGGAAGCUUUGGUUGCUUGGGAGAGUAUUAAUAAUGUCCAUGUUGUUUGACAAUCGAUGAUGAACUUUAUUAGAAAGAUUACACAGUGCAUUGAUGAGAAAACUAUUGUUGUCUCAAACUGGGUGGACAAGCUCAACGCUUCUUCUGCAGGCUACCCUGACAAUGAUUGAAGGCUCACCGAUCCCCAUUUUUGUUUCAAGUCUACGUGAUGUCCGUAAUUAUUGAGAAGACAAUUGGUCGGAUUGCUUUUGGAAGAGGCGGCAGAAAGAAUAGAAACCAUGAUGCCUAUGUUGAUUCAAAGUAUAAUUAUUAAGCAAACCAUUACUGUUCUUAGUGCUUAGUUCCUCCUAUUGUGUGAUAUAUUUCCAUGUAAUCCAUGGUUUAUAUUUCCUUCAAUUUGUGGAAUAUAUAUUGUGUAACCAAUAGUGGAUUGGGUCGGUGCUGCCAUCAUGCUUUGCUAUUUCGUGUAACAACCUGAAUCCAACCUGAAUCGAAUAUGAAUCGUGUUCUACCAAGUUGGAUAUAAAGCCAGUGCAUUGUAAAUGA